UUUUCGUUUUGUUGCUCCUGCGAGCGUUUCAUGAUUACGGUAAUUAGGCACCUGUUGGGUUAAUCCGUAGAAAAUACAUGGACAACAGGGACUUUUUUGGGUGGAGCGGCGUGUCUAUUUCAGCCCACAGAGGCUCUGGCUCAAGCUUUAAAUUUUUUCAAAUGGGUGAACAGCAGCGGAGCAGAUUUUCACCUCAAGCACUAAAUUCGCAGAUUGACCAAUAAAGAUGUUGUUGCUAAUGUCCAGCAGAACAAUAGCAAUGUAUCCUCCUCACUCUUUUUCCUGCCUGUCUGAACCUGCCCCCCACCUUGGAUUCCCUGGCUUUGACCCUCUGCUUGUCUGACCACAAUUGCCUGGAUUGUCCAAAAUAAACGCACCAAGCUUUGCCAACGGCUCAGUCCUAGUUUCAAUCUGUGCCUGAAGCAUAACAUGGGAAUAUUAAAAGAAGGAAUAUGACUGUUUUGAUAUGAGGGGUAUAAAAUGUGUAUUUUGACUGAAAUAUGUGCUUUUGUUUAACAAUGGCAAAUGUGCAUGACUAAAUUAUUUUAUCAAAAUUUCUGUAUUUAAAAGUAACAGUGUUCUGAGCAUAGCAUUUUUCAGGAACAUUUAAAUUAAUUUUAUCUAC